AUACGUAGGGGACAAGCGUUGUCCGGAAUCACUGGGCGUAAAGGGCGCGUAGGCGGUUUUAUAAGUCAGAUGUGAAAGGUACCGGCUCAACCGGUGACGUGCAUUUGAAACUGUAAGACUUGAGUACUGGAGAGGCAAGUGGAAUUCCUAGUGUAGCGGUGAAAUGUGUAGAUAUUAGGAGGAACACCGGUGGCGAAGGCGGCUUGCUGGACAGAUACUGCCGCUGAGGUGCGAAAGCGUGGGGAGCGAACAGGAUUAGAUACCCUGGUAGUCCACGCCGUAAACGAUGAUGACUAGGUGUUGGGGAAACUCAGUGCCGCAGUUAACACAUUAAGUCAUCCGCCUGGGGAGUACGACCGCAAGGUUGAAACUCAAAGGAAUUGACGGGG
rnacentral:rRNA from 1 species